rnacentral:lncRNA from 1 species
ACCGAAUCCAAUUCCAACGUUCCUCCCAGCGUUUGGGAUCACCUCCCAGAUCUCCCAGCUCUCAUCUUGAUCCGAGUUCAUCCUUAUCCCAGCAUCUUCUUCUCUCCCACUGCAUCCACAAUGUCCGGAAAGCAAGCAUCCCAAAGGAUCAAGCCGACUUCAGCCAAGGAAUUUCAGCUCCCGGUUCCUUCCGCGUCCGGUUAUUCCGCAAUCAUCCAGAUCCCAGCUCAUCUUCCCAACGGCGAUCAGCUCAAUCAACCUUAUCCUCCCACCCAGGUGAAGGCUAUAAAAGGGAAUCGAUGCAUGAAGACGAGGGCAUUCAGAGGGAGAGAGCCGGCGGAUCUAAAGCUCUUCUCUCAGGCAGAGUUCCCACGAUAAAGGAGGGAGAAGAGUUUCUUUAAGAGUAUUUUGGGAAUGAUUUCCCAAAGGAAAAGGAAAAGGUGAUGAUAUGCUAAGAGGGAGCUAACGAGAGGAAGGAGGAAGAACCAAUCAUCAUGAAGUCCCCCUGCAGUGCAGCCGUGCAACUCUCCAUGGAAAGCUGAUCUUCUCUUUAGGGUCGGAUGCAGCCCUAAUAAAGGGACACGGGUUUUAUAUAUUUAAUUUUUAUAUUCUUAGAGUUGUAUGAACCCUCUUACUCUUAAAUAAAUAUUUUCUUUCAUAUCAUAUUUAAUCUCUGUGACUUUAAAUAUGAUGUUUAUACAACUGUUUUUCAUGAUCACUGAGUAAAUAUAAGAUAGUCCAUGCUUAGGGAAGAUACGAUGUGCUGCCACCUUAAAUUAGGGUAGACAUUUCAUACCAACUGAAG